rnacentral:rRNA from 1 species
GACGAACGCUGGCGGCGUGCCUAAUACAUGCAAGUAGAACGCUGAAGAGAGGAGCUUGCUCUUCUUGGAUGAGUUGCGAACGGGUGAGUAACGCGUAGGUAACCUGCCUUGUAGCGGGGGAUAACUAUUGGAAACGAUAGCUAAUACCGCAUAACAAUGGAUGACACAUGUCAUUUAUUUGAAAGGGGCAAUUGCUCCACUACAAGAUGGACCUGCGUUGUAUUAGCUAGUAGGUGAGGUAACGGCUCACCUAGGCGACGAUACAUAGCCGACCUGAGAGGGUGAUCGGCCACACUGGGACUGAGACACGGCCCAGACUCCUACGGGAGGCAGUAGUAGGGAAUCUUCGGCAAUGGGGGCAACCCUGACCGAGCAACGCCGCGUGAGUGAAGAAGGUUUUCGGAUCGUAAAGCUCUGUUGUAAGUCAAGAACGAGUGUGAGAGUGGAAAGUUCACACUGUGACGGUAGCUUACCAGAAAGGGACGGCUAACUACGUGCCAGCAGCCGCGGUAAUACGUAGGUCCCGAGCGUUGUCCGGAUUUAUUGGGCGUAAAGCGAGCGCAGGCGGUUUGAUAAGUCUGAAGUUAAAGGCUGUGGCUCAACCAUAGUUCGCUUUGGAAACUGUCAAACUUGAGUGCAGAAGGGGAGAGUGGAAUUCCAUGUGUAGCGGUGAAAUGCGUAGAUAGAUGGAGGAACACCGGUGGCGAAAGCGGCUCUCUGGUCUGUAACUGACGCUGAGGCUCGAAAGCGUGGGGAGCGAACAGGAUUAGAUACCCUGGUAGUCCACGCCGUAAACGAUGAGUGCUAGGUGUUGGAUCCUUUCCGGGAUUCAGUGCCGCAGCUAACGCAUUAAGCACUCCGCCUGGGGAGUACGACCGCAAGGUUGAAACUCAAAGGAAUUGACGGGGGCCCGCACAAGCGGUGGAGCAUGUGGUUUAAUUCGAAGCGACGCGAAGAACCCUACCAGGUCUUGACAUCCCGAUGCUAUUUCUAGAGAUAGAAAGUUACUUCGGUACAUCGGUGACAGGUGGUGCAUGGUUGUCGUCAGCUCGUGUCGUGAGAUGUUGGGUUAAGUCCCGCAACGAGCGCAACCCCUAUUGUUAGUUGCCAUCAUUCAGUUGGGCACUCUAGCGAGACUGCCGGUAAUAAACCGGAGGAAGGUGGGGAUGACGUCAAAUCAUCAUGCCCCUUAUGACCUGGGCUACACACGUGCUACAAUGGUUGGUACAACGAGUUGCGAGUCGGUGACGGCAAGCUAAUCUCUUAAAGCCAAUCUCAGUUCGGAUUGUAGGCUGCAACUCGCCUACAUGAAGUCAGAAUCGCUAGUAAUCGCGGAUCAGCACGCCGCGGUGAAUACGUUCCCGGGCCU